rnacentral:rRNA from 1 species
CCAGGCUUGAACAGCGAGUGACCAUCGAUGAAAGUCGACUUCCGCAAGGACACUCGUAGAGGUGCUGCAUGGCUGUCGUCAGCUCGUGUCGUGAGAUGUUGGGUUAAGUCCCGCAACGAGCGCAACCCUUGUUUGCUGUUGCCAUCAGGUUAUGCUGGGCACUCUGCAAAGACUGCCGGUGAUAAACCGGAGGAAGGUGGGGAUGACGUCAAGUCAGCAUGGCCUUUAUGUCUGGGGCUACACACGUGCUACAAUGGCCGACACAAACCGUCGCGAGCCCGCGAGGGGGAGCUAAUCGGACAAAGUCGGUCUCAGUUCGGAUCGUAGGCUGCAACUCGCCUGCGUGAAGUUGGAAUCGCUAGUAAUCGCGGAUCAGCACGCCGCGGUGAAUACGUUCCC